rnacentral:rRNA from 1 species
GGGCAGGGUGAGAAUCCCCAGGCGCUUGAGGGAACUCUGGUGAAGGAACUAGGCAAAAUAGUACCGUAACUUCGGGAGAAGGUACGCCCCUAGUACGUGAAGGCCCAGCGGCCGGAGCGGACGGGGGUUGCAGUGACCAGGUGGCUGCGACUGUUUACUAAAAACACAGCACUCUGCAAACGCGUAAGCGGACGUAUAGGGUGUGACGCCUGCCCGGUGCCGGAAGGUUAAGUGAUGGGGUUAGCCGCAAGGCGAAGCUCUUGAUCGAAGCCCCGGUAAGCGGCGGCCGUAACGAUAACGGUCCUAAGGUAGCGAAAUUCCUUGUCGGGUAAGUUCCGACCUGCACGAAUGGCGUAACGAUGGCCACGCUGUCUCCACCAGAGACUCAGUGAAAUUGAAAUCUCGGUUAAGAUGCCGAGUACCCGCGGCUAGACGGAAAGACCCCGUGAACCUUUACUAUAGCUUCACACGGGACUUUGAAUCGACUUGUGUAGGAUAGGUGGGAGGCUAGGAAGCCCGGACGCCAGUUCGGGUGGAGCCACACUUGAAAUACCACCCUGGUCGAUUUGGAGUUCUAACCCAGGCCCGUCAUCCGGGUCGGGGACAGUGUGUGGUGGGUAGUUUGACUGGGGCGGUCUCCUCCCAAAGAGUAACGGAGGAGCACGAAGGUACCCUCAGCGCGGUCGGAAAUCGCGCAUUGAGUGCAAAGGCAUAAGGGUGCUUGACUGCGAGACAGACACGUCGAGCAGGUACGAAAGUAGGUCUUAGUGAUCCGGUGGUUCUGUAUGGAAGGGCCAUCGCUCAACGGAUAAAAGGUACUCCGGAUAACAGGCUGAUACCGCCCAAGAGUUCAUAUCGACGGCGGUGUUUGGCACCUCGAUGUCGGCUCAUCACAUCCUGGGGCUGAAGUCGGUCCCAAGGGUAUGGCUGUUCGCCAUUUAAAGUGGUACGCGAGCUGGGUUUAGAACGUCGUGAGACAGUUCGGUCCCUAUCUGCCGUGGGCGUUGGAGAUUUGCGGGAAGCUGCUCCUAGUACGAGAGGACCGGAGUGGACGUACCCCUGGUGUUCCGGUUGUCACGCCAGUGGCAUUGCCGGGUAGCUACGUACGGACGGGAUAACCGCUGAAAGCAUCUAAGCGGGAAGCCCCUCCCAAGAUGAGAUCUCCCUGGACCCUUGAGGUCCCUAAAGGUCCGUCACAGACUAUGACGUGGAUAGGCGGGAUGUGGAAGCGCGGUAACGCGUGCAGCUAACCCGUACUAAUUGACCGUGCGGCUUGACCCU